CCUACGGGAGGCAGCAGUGAGGAAUCUUGGUCAAUGGGCGCGAGCCUGAACCAGCCAAGUCGCGCGAGGGACGACGGUCCCAUGGAUUGUAAACCUCUUUUGUCGGGGAGCAAAAGACGACACGCGUGGCCUUCCGAGAGUACCCGAAGAAAAAGCAUCGGCUAACUCCGUGCCAGCAGCCGCGGUAAUACGGAGGAUGCGAGCGGUAUCCGGAUUUAUUGGGUUUAAAGGGUGCGCAGGCGGAAGAUCAAGUCAGCGGUAAAAUUGAGAGGCUCAACCUCUUCGAGCCGUUGAAACUGGUUGUCUUGAGUGAGCGAGAAGUAUGCGGAAUGCGUGGUGUAGCGGUGAAAUGCAUAGAUAUCGCGCAGAACUCCGAUUGCGAAGGCAGCAUGCCGGCGCUCAACUGACGCUCAUGCACGAAAGUGUGGGUAUCGAACAGGAUUAGAUACCCUAGUAGUC
rnacentral:rRNA from 1 species